rnacentral:rRNA from 1 species
CUCAUUAUACCAUGAUAUAUGUAAUUUUGUUAAAGUCUCUCUUGAAAGGGGCAGAAACCCGUAGAGGGUGCCAGGCCCGUAAUGACUUAUAUUAACAUAUUAUGGUGAGUUCUAUUUAGAGUCGAGUUGCUUGAGAGUGCAGCUCUAAGUAGGUGGUAAACUCCAUCUAAGGCUAAAUAUAACCACGAGACCGAUAGUAAACAAGUACCGUGAGGGAAAGUUGAAAAGAACUUUGAAGAGAGAGUUCAAAAGUACGUGAAACUGUUUAGAGAUAAACCUGCUCUACUUAGUUGUAUAAAUACUAAUAGCGGAAGAUUCAAUUACCUUACCGGUUUACAAACUAACUUGAAUUUAUAACUAUAUAUGAGACAGAAUACAGUCACACACUUUAUGUGUUUGUGUACUUGUAUUAACUGCUCAAUUCUUGUUUAGUAUUUGUACCGGAGGUGUGCACUUCUUCUGUUAUUAAUGUUGUCACUCGUCAUUAUAUUGUUUUAAGUGUUAUAAUGUUUAGACCGUAUUAAUAAAUUAUCUAUGUAAUGUAUUUAUGAUAUUAAUAUGGACAUAUAAUAAAACUAACAUAUCAAAAUGACGUUUUAUAAAUAUUGUAUUGAAUGUAAUAAAAUUUUAUAUUAUAUUUAUAAUAUUUGGUAUACGAGAUAUUAUAUAUAUAUAAUAAGAUUAGAAUACAUUUUUUCUUGUGUGCAACAUUUUGUUGACUCUAAGUAAUAGCAGGACCCGUCUUGAAACACGGACCAAGGAGUCUAGCAUAUAUGCAAGUCUUUGGAUGACAAUAUCCAUAAGGCGUAAUUAAUGUGAAUGUAUUGUUUUUUUUUGAUGUUUAAUAUAUUUUUUAACAGAAGGUGUAUAUAUUUUUUAAUGUAUUUAUUUUUAACAGAAUUUUUAUUUACACAUUUAAACAAACUAAGGGAAGAUAAGUGAUUUUAAAAUGUCACUUCGCAUUCCCGGGGCGUUCCA